AGGAUUUGGGUUUUCUGAUAAGCCUCAACCAAGAUAUGGUUUUGACUACACCCUUGAUGAAUAUGUGUUAUCAUUGGAGUCACUUAUUGAUGAACUGGCUGUUACUAAAGUCUCACUUGUUGUCCAGGGAUAUUUUUCACCAGUUGUUGUUAAAUAUGCCAGCAUUCACCAGGAAAAGAUUAACAAUUUAAUUCUCCUUAAUCCACCUGUACGUUUAUUUUA